ACUUGUUGGAUGUGAGGUGGUAUCAGUUUCAGCGACUACCUCCUAUGUGGAUAAGUCUUUACCUCCGCCAGAUAACAUAUCCUCGCUCUUCCAACUGGAGAAUGGAUGUUCUGGUGUUUUCGUAAUGGUGUUUCUACUUGAUUUACAUCGUAAGCAGUUUUCUUUUUUCCAGGUUAAUCUUGUAAGAACUAAAGAAAACUUACCAAUAUCCGUUCUGCUUGCAAAGAUGAAAAUGUGAAGCUAUCUCCACCUCGACUUAGAUGAGUCUUGAAGAAGUGAUAAGAUAUGUUGC